rnacentral:rRNA from 1 species
AAUAUUGCGCAAUGGACGGAAGUCUGACGCAGCGACGCCGCGUGCGCGAUGAAGGCCUUCGGCUCGUAACGCUCUGUCCUUGGGGAAGACGGCGAAAGCUUGACGGUACCCCAGAUGAAAGCAUCGGGUAAAUACGUGCCAGCAGCCGCUGCAAUACGUAGGGGGCGAUCGUUGUACGGAAUGAAUGGGCGUAAAGGGUGCGUAGGCGGCCCUUUAAGUCAGAUGUGAAAGCCCGCGGCUUAACCGCGGAACUGCAUUUGAAACUGGAGGGCUUGAGUGUCGGAGAGGGUAGUGGAAUUCCCAGUGUAGCGGUGAAAUGCGUAGAUAUUGGGAGGAACACCAGUGGCGAAGGCGACCACCUGGACGAUAACUGACGCUGAGGCACGAAAGCUAGGGGAGCAAACAGG